ensembl:lncRNA
CCUCCCUCUCCCCGCCCCCCAGGGCGCCCACCUGCCGCCCGCCAGGCCGGGUGGACGUGUCUUCCGGCCGGCCCCGCGCUCGUUUCCCCAGUGGGCGGCGCUCGGAAGACCCGGGCAGGUGGAAGGGGCGCAGGCGCAGGUGUGGCCGUGGCCGUCCGCGAGGACCGGUCCUCCGCCUGUCUGCUGGGGCGCUGGCGGGUGUCGUUUUCGCUCACUUUGGCGAGAAGCGGGUUGUGCUGUUAUAAAUCAGAGCGAGACGAGGACCGCCGUCGCCACUUCACUUCGGAGUGGACGUCUGGCUUUGGCAGUUGGGCUGAUUGGGUCUUUACUGGAGACGACGGCGAUUCUCCAGUGUGAACACCGGGGGCAGUGUUUGCUGAGGCCGCGUGGGUCCCGGUUCUCUGCGGAAGGAGGGGCGGGGGCGCGGAGAAGCGGACCGGAGGCGGGGUGUGAGGGCGUCUCACCUGCGAGCACGGGCCUUGCCCGGCUCCUGCCCCGCAAGCCCGAACUCUGCCCUCGGUCACUGCCCACUGCGGGCCCCACCCCCGAUUUCUGGAGUCGCUCUCCCGCCCCCCAUCCCUCCGUGGCCCUGACUGCUUACUUUCCACCGCUCCCUAAUAAAGCUUUGGUUUUUCCAGUAGUCAUAUAUGGAUGUGAGAGUUGGACAAUAAAGAAAGCUGAGCACCGAAGAACUGGUGCUGUUGAACUGUUGUGUUGGAGAAGACUCUUGAGAGUCCCUUGGACUGCAAGGAGAUCCAGUCAGCCCAUCCUAAAGGAAAUCAGUCCUGAAUAUUUAUUGGAAGGACUGAUGCUGAAGCUGAAACUCCAGUACUCUGGCCACGUGAUGGGAAGAACUGACUCAUUGGAAAAGACCCUGAUGCUGGGAAAGAUUGAAGGCAAGUGGAGAAGGGGACGACAGAGGAUGAGAUGGUUGAAUGGCAUCCCCGACUCAGUGGAAUGAGUUUGAGCAAGGUCCAGGAAUUGGUGAUGGACAAGGAAGCCUGGCAUGCUGCAGUCCAUGGGGUCGCAGAGUCAGACAUGACUGAGCAGCUGCACUGUACUGAAUAAGACUGCUGACCUUCCAUGCAGUCUCCCUCUCUGGGAAGUAAGCUGCAGGAGCAAGGGACUGUGUCUGUUUCGUUCACCACUCUGUGGGCUGAAGUAGCUGCUCAAGAAAGGUUAGAGUCAGGGCACAGUGGGUGACUUCACCAUCCUGGUGAGGCCAGGAGGGGUUCCAGGAAGACAUCACCGCCAGCUGGGCUCCACACCCAGGUCCUCUGGUGGUGUAUGUUUCCCUAGGACAGGGAGCAUCUUGUAAGCUAAUUCUGCAUCCUGCCAGCUCACCACACCUUCCAGGCGGCUUCCUCAUCCAAUGGACAUGGGAUCAGGAGUCCCCGAAGGUGGGGCUUUUUAUCUUUAAUUGGAGGAUAACUGCUUUACAGUGUCCUUUUGGUUUCUCCUGCACAACAGGCGAAUCAGCCAUCUGUGCAGUUGCUAACUCAGCCGAAUGUAUGUAUAUACCCCCUCCCUCUUGAACUCCCUCCCACCUGAGCCCCGUCCCAUCCUUCUAGGUGGAGGCUGGGUCUUUUGUUUCCUUUCUCUGGCUUCUUCCCAGUACCUACAACUGGAAGGCAGUCCCAACUCAGUGUGUGUUUAAAUAAAUUUGUUGGUUUGCUGAAUGCUGUCUCCAUUUGAAACACUGAUGUUUUUUGAGCCGGUUUUGAGGAGCAGGGAUGGUUCCAGUGGCACAGUGGAAAAGGAAUCUGUC